AACGAACGCUGGCGGCAGGCUUAACACAUGCAAGUCGAACGCAUCGCAAGAUGAGUGGCAGACGGGUGAGUAACGCGUGGGAACAUACCCUUUUCUACGGAAUAGCUCUGGGAAACUGGAAUUAAUACCGUAUACGCCCUACGGGGGAAAGAUUUAUCGGGGAAGGAUUGGCCCGCGUUGGAUUAGCUAGUUGGUGGGGUAAAGGCCUACCAAGGCGACGAUCCAUAGCUGGUCUGAGAGGAUGAUCAGCCACAUUGGGACUGAGACACGGCCCAAACUCCUACGGGAGGCAGCAGUGGGGAAUAUUGGACAAUGGGCGCAAGCCUGAUCCAGCCAUGCCGCGUGAGUGAUGAAGGCCUUAGGGUUGUAAAGCUCUUUCACCGAUGAAGAUAAUGACGGUAGUCGGAGAAGAAGCCCCGGCUAACUUCGUGCCAGCAGCCGCCGUAAUAC
rnacentral:rRNA from 1 species